AUUGAACGCUGGCGGCAUGCCUUACACAUGCAAGUCGAACGGCAGCACGGGAGCAAUCCUGGUGGCGAGUGGAGAACGGGUGAGUAAAGUAUCGGAACGUGCCCAGUCGUGGGGGAUAACGUAGCGAAAGUUACGCUAAUACCGCAUACGAUCUAUGGAUGAAAGCGGGGGAUCGCAAGACCUCGCGCGAUUGGAGCGGCAGAUAUCAGAUUAGGUAGUUGGUGGGGUAAAGGCUCACCAAGCCGACGAUCUGUAGCUGGUCUGAGAGGACGACCCGCCACACUGGGACUGAGACACGGCACAGACUCCUACGGGAGGCAGCAUUGGGGAAUGUUUGACAAUGGGCGCAAGCCUGAUCCAGCCAUGCCGCGUGCAGGAUGAAGGCCUUCGGGUUGUAAACUGCUUUUGUACGGAACGAAAAGGUGUGACUUAAUACGUUGGACUCAUGACGGUACCGUAAUAAUAAGCACCGGCUAACUACGUGCCAGCAGCCGCGGUAA
rnacentral:rRNA from 1 species